ACCGUUGCCACAUUCCAUCCGUUCGAGUCAGCGGCCGUGAGGAGCUUCCCAACGAUCAUCAUCUCCAAGCGUCUCCCCUAUUUCUUCCCAACGGUCAUCCAUGUUUCCUUCAUCCCAUCGUCCGUGGCUUCCAACGAACAGCAACGCUUCAAUUUCAGCUUCCCAACCGACAGUGGACCUCCCAGCACAUGCAAACCAGCUCUUCAAUUCCAAGCCGCAUUCAACAUCCGAUCGUUUCAUCUUCAAAUUCCCUUCCCAGCAAACAAAUUCUGAUCCGAGGGUCUUGCAUUCAAAUCCAACAUCAAUGACUGCAGCUCAAACUUCUUCAACGUUCAACCUCCCAACGUCGAAGAGUCCCAAGCAUUCAAAUCCACGCCUCAUCCGCUCCCAGCAGCGUUCCAGCUUCUCCAAUCCGGUGAAGUGUCUAUAAAAGGAGGCCAUUCGGGAAGAAGGAGGCCAUUCGGGAAGAAGGAGGCCAUUCGGGAAGAAGGAGAAAGCAGCCGUGCGAGUGUGCGACGGAGGAGUAAGAGACCAAGGGAACCACCGAAGCAUCUGCAUCUCCUCUUCCGAUUUUCCCAGCCGGACGGAGCAAAUCAUGAGAGGGAGGCCGGAUCCAUCCAAG
rnacentral:lncRNA from 1 species